rfam:Culex pipiens quinquefasciatus supercont3.760 genomic scaffold, whole genome shotgun sequence.
GUAGCCAAGUGGUAACGCUUCCGCCUCGUAAGCGGUAGAUCUGGGUUCAAAUCCCGGC